rnacentral:rRNA from 1 species
GACGAACGCUGGCGGCGUGCUUAACACAUGCAAGUCGAACGGAAAGGCCCUGCUUGCAGGGUACUCGAGUGGCGAACGGGUGAGUAACACGUGGGUGAUCUGCCCUGCACUUCGGGAUAAGCCUGGGAAACUGGGUCUAAUACCGGAUAGGAGCCAUUUUUAGUGUGAUGGUUGGAAAGUUUUUUCGGUGUAGGAUGAGCUCGCGGCCUAUCAGCUUGUUGGUGGGGUAAUGGCCUACCAAGGCGGCGACGGGUAGCCGGCCUGAGAGGGUGCACGGCCACAUUGGGACUGAGAUACGGCCCAGACUCCUACGGGAGGCAGCAGUGGGGAAUAUUGCACAAUGGGCGCAAGCCUGAUGCAGCGACGCCGCGUGGGGGAUGACGGCCUUCGGGUUGUAAACUCCUUUCGCUAGGGACGAAGCUUUUUGUGACGGUACCUAGAUAAGAAGCACCGGCUAACUACGUG